ensembl:lncRNA
AUGUUAAUUAUUUCUGAAAUGUUUAUUAUUGAGCAGUUACAUUUCACUGCACUUCAUGAUGUUUAUGAAUCCAGAAUUCUUAAAGAACCUUUUCAGAUUUCUGGACGGAGUAAAUACUGCCCAGUUCUUGUGGCUCUGUUUAGUGACAGUGAUGAAGAUCCCCUGCCCUCGUCUGACCAUCAGUCCAUGGACACACCAAACACUUUUGAAGAGAAUCCCUGGUUUCCUCCUCACAGGUCAGAGAAUGUUGGAGGAAUGGCCAGUGCCUCUGAAACUGACCCCCAACCCAGGAUGAAGACCCAGCAAAGCAAUGUGAGGGAAACUGAAAGUGAAAGUAAAAGAAUAUUAAUGAGAAUUUAAGCUCAGUGAAUGUGUAAGAAUAUUAAUGAUAAUUGAAGCUGGGUGUCGAUGUUCUGCAGGUAAAAGGGAAAAGUAGGAACUCUUUCUUUCAGUGGGUCUUUCAGUCGGCACUACAAGCUCUCCUGAUGAUCUUCACUCUGUGCUACAGCUCCUCACAGCCUCACAGAGGUAUCGUAAACAUGAACUCCUGAUUUCCUCAAAGCUAAUAUGUUGUUCAGUGUUGUGUUUUAUGGAGAUUUACUAACAUCCUGUGUUUGGAUGUGAAGGUGAAGCUGAUAGUGAUGAAGUUUGGAGCAGAGAAGAAUCCAACAGGAACCACAGCCCCGGGUAGAGAGAGACAGAGACAGAGACAGAGAGAGAGAGAGAGAACAGGGGAGAAGCAUUAUUCCUCCCUCACCCUCGAGUGCUCACAGUGGUGAUUAAACUGAGAGGAUUCACAGUUUAAUAGACAGAAUGCUGUGAUGUGAGGGAGAACAGAAGAGCUGGUUCUGUUUCCACGUGGAUCUGCUAAGAGAAACUUCUUUAAAACGUGUGGAGCUUCAGAAGCUUUUCAUUCAUUUCCUAUAUAAUCACAGAACUGAUAUACAUGUAAAUCUCCUGUACUGGAGGACUUUGCUUUUCUGGUGGACGUUAAAAUUAUUUUUCCAUCAAAUAUUAAAAUCAGUCACUCAUACCAGCAGUCAGACUGGUCUACCAGUAACCAGUGAGUGAUGCUCAGUGUUGAAGAAUUUGAUGCUUAUUGAUGUCCUACACCAUCUACCAUCUUUAGCAGACCCUCAGUCCCAUAGCAAACAGAUUAGUUUGUGAAAUUCUGACAUUAAUGCGAAGUUUUCACAAAAACUACAAACUGCAACAAAUAAAUUUAGAACAAGAAUCUUCCUCAACGUGGAGAAAAAUGAUACAGUUGGAGGUAUAAGAAGCGAGUGUGGAUGAAAAGUCUACAGUAAAGUACAGUUGGAGAUAUAAGAAGUGGGUGUGGAGGGAAAGUCUACAGUAAAAUACAGUUGGGGGCA